rnacentral:ncRNA from 1 species
CCCAUGGUUCCCUCACGGGAUGAAAACGGGAACGCCGUGUGAUUCGGCGACUGCCCCGCAACUGUGAGCGGCGUCAACCAUGCGCAACGUCCACCGGCACGCGCCGGGAAGGAGCGCAUGCGGUUUCCCCGCCGGGAGACGCGCCGCGAGUCAGGAGACCUGCCAUGGGAUUUC